rnacentral:rRNA from 1 species
GAAGCCGGAAUUGCUAGUAAUGGCAGGUCAGCAUACUGCCGUGAAUACGUUCCCGGGCCUUGUACACACCGCCCGUCACACCAUGAGAGUUGGGAAUACCCGAAGCCUGUGAGCCAACCGUAAGGGGGCAGCAGUCGAAGGUAGAAUCAAUGAUUGGGGUGAAGUCGUAACAAGGUAGC